AUUGAACGCUCGCGGGAGGCUAACACAUGCAAGUCGAGCGAGUGGCGGCCGGGUGAGUAAUCUAUCGGAAAGUGCCCCAUAGCGGGGGAUAACUACUGGAAACAGUGCUAUACCGCAUACUAUUAGCGCGGCCUAUAUGUGAGUAGCUAGUGGGUGGGGUAAAGGCUCACCCAGGCGACGAUCCGUAGCUGGUUUGAGAGGACGACCAGCCACAAUGGUACUGAGACACGGUCCAGACUCCUACGGGGGGCAGCAGUGGGGAACUUGGCACAAUGGGGGAAAACCUGAUACGGCCAUGCCGCGUGUAUGAUGAAGGCUGCGGGUUGUAAAGUAAUGUUAGCAGAGAAGCGGUAUCCGCAGAAGAAGCACCGGCUGACUACGUGCCAGCAGCCGCGGUAAUUC
rnacentral:rRNA from 1 species